UCUCCCACAGUGCAUCAGAAAUAAGGUCAAUGCAAGAUUAAAUUCCUGUCUUUUUAAAGUAUCUAGGCGGACAUUCAUAUAUUUAUCUCAUCUUCUUUACUGUGCUGAGAGAUUUCUAGUUAUUAUUAAUUUGUUACCACAACGACCUGAAGGAGAUGUGGAUUAGAGACAGGAUCGUCCAAAAAGACCUCGGGCGGCGGAGGACAUCGAUUCUUUGCUUUGUCUUUUUGCAGACAAGUUCGAUGGGAUCUUUCCAUGAUAAUAGAUGGGGAAUCAUGACACUCAAGUAUUUAUAAGGAGAUACUUCAUGAGAGUCAGAAGGAAUGUUGGUGCACAGACACUCUAGAAACAAGGCCCGGCAAUUCCCAGACUGUCAAGAAUCAGAUCUCAGACGACACGGCACCAAGAACACAGCAGGACAAAGGCAGAAGAUGUUUGGUUCAGUGACUUCUGCAGUUAAGCCUCAAAGUGUGAGCACAGCUUAGCUUAUUUUACAGACAUCAAGCAUGUAUGUGUUGCAUGAGCUGCAACAUUCAGGCCAUUCAUCACAAGUCCAUUAACAUUGAAUUAAUCUGCAACAAUGUUGAUAAUAAAUUGAUUGUUUGUUUUUAAUAAAUCAGGUUUCCUAUUCAAAUCUAAGUAUUUGAAGACAUUAACUUAAACU